rnacentral:rRNA from 1 species
UAACGUGAGCGUCCUAAGGUAGCGCGAUAAUUUGCUUUUCAAUUGAAGGAUGGUAUGAAAGGGUUAACGAAGAAGGUGCUGUGUCUAAAAAUUCAAUUUAAACUAACUUUAAGGUGAAGAGGCCUUUAUGUAAAAGAAGGACGACAAGACCCUAUGAAGCUUUAUCUUAAUUGGAGCUCUCAGGCUCUUAUACGAUUUUGAUGGGAGACCAGUAGAAAUAAGUCUUCUACUAUCAUAUUAAUCUUACUAGUAUUUCCUAACUUUAUAUGUGUGGCUAGCUACUCUAGGGAUAACAGCGCAAUUUCUCCCGAAAGAUGGUAUUGGAGGGGAAGAUUGCGACCUCGAUGUUGGCUUUAGAUAUCCUAGAGGCGUAGAAGCUUCU